GACCAAAAAACCGAGUUUGAUCCUGGCUCAGAAUGAACGCUAGCGAUAUGCUUAACACAUGCAAGUCGAACGUUGUUUUCGGUCUAUAGAACGGUUGAAGACAAAGUGGCGAACGGGUGCGUAACGCGUGGGAAUCUGCCAAACAGUUUGGGCCGAAUCCCAAAGAAAGCGAAAGCGAAAAAGCGCUGUUCGCCGAGAAAGCUAAAAAGCGCUGUUUGAUGAGCCUGCGUAGUAUUAGGUAGUUGGUUGGGUAAAGGCUGACCAAGCCGCAGAUGCUUAGCUGAUCUUUUCGGACGAUCAGCCACACUGGGACUGGGACACGGCCCAGACUCCGUAGGGAGGCAGCAGUGGGGAAUAUUGGACAAUGGGCGAAAGCCCGAUCCAGCAAUAUCGCGUGAGUGAGUGAAAAACGUCGCGUUAGCGAGGAAGGGCAAUGCCGCUUGUAAAGCUCUUUCGUCGAGUUGAGAUUAUGACAAGACUCGAGGAAGAAGCCCCGGCUAAUUCCGUGCCAGCAGCCGCGGUAAGACGGGAGGGGCUAGUGUUAUUCGGAAUGACUGGGCGUAAAGGGCACGUAGGCAGUGAAUCAGGUUGAAAGUCAAAGGCGCCAGCUCAACUGGCGGAAUGCUUUCAAAACCAAUUCACUUGAGUGGGAUAGAGGGGAGUGGAAUUUCGUGUGGUAGGGAUAAAAUCCGGAGAUAUACGAAGGAACGCCGAAGUAGCGAAGGCAGCUUUCUGGGUCUCUACUGACGCUAGGGUGCGAAAGCUUGGGGAGCAAACAGGAUUAGAUACCCUGGUAGUCCAUGCCGUAAACGAUGAGUGUUCGUCCUUGGUCCGCGGAUCGGGGGCUCAGCUAACGCAUUAAACACUCCGCCUGGGGAGUACGGUCGCAAGACUGAAACUCAAAGGAAUUGACGGGGGCUUGCACAAGCGGUGGAGCAUGUGGUUUAAUUCGAUACAACGCGCAAAACCUUACCAGCCCUUGACAUAUGAACACUUGACGUAUGAACACUUGACAUAUGAACAAGUGUGCUUGUCCUUAACGGGAUGAAACGAAAAUUCAUACAGGUGCUGCAUGGCUGUCGUCAGCUCGUGUCGUGAGACGUUUUUGGUUAACUCCUAUAACGAGCGAAACCCUUGUCUUGUGUUGCUAAGACAUGCUGCUCCCAGAGGAUCAAUGUCAUCAUUCACCCGUCAGCGGGGCGGUACGGGAUUGAUGACACUCCCUCUGUGCCGAUGUUGCACUCACAGGAGACUGCCCAUAGUUCUGCUAUGGAGGAAGGUGGGGAUGACGUCAAGUCCGCAUGGCCCUUAUGGGCUGGGCUACACACGUGCUACAAUGGCAAUUACAAUAGGAAGCAGGGCCGUCAGGCGGAGCGAAUCCAUAAAGAUUGCCUCAGUUCGGAUUGUUCUCUGCAACUCGAGAACAUGAAGUUGGAAUCGCUAGUAAUCGCGGAUCAGCAUGCCGCGGUGAAUACGUACCCGGGCCCCGUACACACCGCCCGUCACACCCUGGGAAUUGGUUUCGCCCAAAGCAUCGACCAGAGAUCACCCAUUGCUAAAGUGUUCCAUGCCUAGUUGAGUGUGGCCCAUUUUGGUAUGGGUGGUCUCCUUGGCGCAUAUCACGGUUGGGUCAGUGACUGGGGUGAAGUCGUAACAUGGUAGUCGUAGGGGAACCUGUGGCUGGAGGGAAUCU
rnacentral:rRNA from 1 species